GUCAGGAAGGCUGAGCGGUCUAAGGCGAUGCAAUCAGGUCGCAGUCUCCCCUGGAGGCGUGGGUUCAAAUCCCACUUCUGACA
rnacentral:tRNA from 1 species